AUUGAACGCUGGCGGCAUGCUUUACACAUGCAAGUCGAACGGUAACAGGGUGCUUGCACCGCCGACGAGUGGCGAACGGGUGAGUAAUGCGUCGGAACGUGCCGAGUAGUGGGGGAUAACGCAUCGAAAGGUGUGCUAAUACCGCAUACGUACUGAGGUAGAAAGUGGGGGACCUUCGGGCCUCACGCUAUUCGAGCGGCCGACGUCUGAUUAGCUAGUUGGUGAGGUAAAGGCUCACCAAGGCGAAGAUAAGUAGCGGGUGUGAGAGGAUGGGCCGCCACACUGGGACUGAGACACGGCCCAGACUCCUACGGGAGGCAGCAGUGGGGAGUUUUGGACAAUGGGCGCAAGCCUGAUCCAGCCAUGCCGCGUGUCUGAAGAAGGCCUUCGGGUUGUAAAGGACUUUUGUCCGGGAGCAAAUACCCAGUGCUAAUAACGCUGGGGGCUGAGAGUACCGGAAGAAUAAGCACCGGCUAACUACGUGCCAGCCGCCGCAGUAAAAC
rnacentral:rRNA from 1 species